AAACAUGUUAAGUUGAAUUUUAUAACUUAUUUGACCUGCCCAGUGAUAAUUUUAACGGCCGCGGUAUUAUGACUGUGCUAAGGUAGCAUAAUCAAUUGUCUAUUAAUUGUAGACUAGAAUGAAAGGUUAGACUUAUUUUUACUGUCUUUAUACUAAMUUGAAGUUAUAUUCUUUAUAAAAAUAUUAAGAUUUUGUAAUGGGACGAUAAGACCCUAACAAGCUUUAUAUCUAUUAAGUACAUAAAUUAGAGUAACUAUUGUGUUAUAAAAUAUUUUACUGGGGCGGUGAGUAUGAGCUAACCAUGCUGAGAUUUAAUAUGUUUGAUCCAUAAUCAAAUUAUGACUAUUUGUUUAAGUUACUGUAGGGUUAACAGCGUAAUAUCUGUUGAAAGAUUUUAUAGAUGUAGAUGUUUGCGACCUCGAUGUUGGUUUAAGAUUCCUUUGUAGAGACAUUAAGUUCAUAAGGUAGUUUGUUCAACUAUUAAAGUCUUAUGUGAUCUG
rnacentral:rRNA from 1 species